rnacentral:lncRNA from 1 species
AGUCGGUACCAGGCAGAUUUCUGGGUGAGGCCCAGAGGAGCAUUUUGAUUCAUCCAUCCAUUCAACAAGGGACUAUGUUUUAUCCAACUUGUAUCCCUAGAGUAUAACACAACAUCUGCACAUAAGACAGAAAGUCAGUGGACUCGAAACGAUGAAAGGUCACACCUCUGUCAAGGGGUGCUGUCCUUUCCUGGCCAAGUCUCUUUUAUUCUCUUAGGGCUGCAACCUCUUCACCUGGGAAAUGAAUGGUCCUGUGAUUUACAAGGGCAGGGUCCAGGCUGAAGGCGCAGGCCCUAUCCAAGACACAACAUUUCCAGUGGCAGAGAUAAAAAAGUAGGAUUUCAGACUGAAA